AUGCGGCUUUCCUCUGACAGAAUGAAGACUGUUUUCCCGCUGCAGAGCCAGUCUAGGAUCUGCCCACAGUGCAGUGAGAAGGCUGUCUGCCUCCUGAUUGCUGGGCCCAGCCCGCCUAGGGAGCCGGGAGGCAGUCACUGUCAGCUGGGUGCCGAGAGCCGAGCAGAUACUGCCACCAGUAUGUUUUACAAUCAAAGGUUGCAUUUAGGGCGGCGCUGUGGCCCACGGGCGGCCCCACGGAGCCGCCAUAGCCGCCCGCCUCCCACGACCCACCGUCUCCGCCGCCGGCUCCGCGCCGCCGCUGUGGCCGACGUGGAAGACGGUGAGGAACCCUGCGCCCUGUCGUCUCACUCGGGGAGCUCAGGAUCCCAGUCGGGUGGCGACAAAAUGUUGUCUCUCAAGAAGUGGAACGCUGUGGCCAUGUGGAGCUGGGGCGUGGAGUGCGAUACGCGCGCCAUCUGCAGGGUCCAGGUGAUGGAUGCCUGUCUUGGAUGUCAAGCUGAAAGCAAACAAGAGGAUUGUGUUGUUGUCUGGGGAGAAUGUAAUCAUUCCUUCCACAACUGCUGCAUGUCCUUGUGGGUGAAACAGAACAGUCGCUGCCCUCUCUGCCAGCAGGACUGGGUGGUCCAGAGAAUCGGGAAGUGAGAGCAAACGAAGGUGUUCAUGCAGUCAGUUGUUCGGAGCCUUGGUAUAUCUUGUUAUCAAUUGCUCUACAGAGGCUAGAACUCUCCAGGGGACUAAUUCUUCGAAUAGGAGAUGGAUCUGUGGUCUUUUGGGACUCAUCAAAGGCAUGCUUUACCCUUUUUCAGUUUUAUUUUCAGAAAUUCUCUACAAUUAAGAUAAUUUAUUAAGGAUGGUCUUUCCUACCUCUGGUAUGUGUCUCACACACUGCUUAGAAGUGCUAUAAAGGAGAGGACUAUACAUUAAACAACCUUCAUAAUUUACUUACCGAUAUCCAAGGAGUUAUUGAAGCGGUUCCGUUCAGAAGAGAAUUUUUUGCAUGCUUAUGGUUGAUCAGUUUUUUAAAAAGACAAUGUUAUAGUAACAAAUAAAGUACAGUUUAAAACCCAGUUCUUAUCCUUAAUGUGUUCCUAAUAUUUAUUUUUGGCAGGGGGGAGGAUAAUUAAUUAAAUUUUUAUUUGAUAUAAUUUUAAGUUUGGACCAGCGAAUAGGGUAAAUAAAAUUUAACCUUUGGGU